UGGAGCAGUAAGUGCUGGAAAGAGGAAGGAGGAUUACUCAUGACAAGAUGAGAAAUUAUACUGUAUUUGUGGGGUCAUAUAAAAAAUUAGCAAGCCUGGAACUCACAACCUGGUGAACUCUAAUUCUUGAGGAAGUCGGUUCAGUUUUCCCUUCCAUCCUUCACAUUUUCAUUACUUAAAAAGGAACUUAUACCUUAAGGCUUAAUUAAAUUUAGCUUCUCUCUUACGUUAAGUAAAAUGAAAUCCACAAAGAUUAAUCCUGAGAGGUUAAUUAAUUGAGUAUCAAAGGACACAUCAGAAUAUUAAAUAAUCUUAUAAUAACAGCAUACUUACUCAAUCUAAUAUAUUUAGUCUGACUUAUAUUAUAUUUCAGUGAUGAGGAUUCAGUCCUUCCUGGAUAUACAAAUUAUAUUC
rnacentral:lncRNA from 1 species